rnacentral:rRNA from 1 species
UACGUAGGGUGCGAGCGUUGUUCGGAAUUACUGGGCGUAAAGGGCGCGUAGGCGGGUCUAUAAGUCGAUUGUGAAAGCCCCGGGCUUAACCUGGGAACCUGCAGUCGAAACUGUAGAUCUUGGAUGCCUGAGAGGAUGGCGGAAUUCCCGGUGUAGAAGUGAAAUUCGUAGAUAUCGGGAAGAACACCUGAGGCGAAGGCGGCUGUCUGGCGGUGCAUCGACGCUGAGGCGCGAAAGCGUGGGGAGCAAACAGG